UCAGCAUUAAACCUGCUAUUUUUAGGAUAAGAUCCACUUUCCGUGAAGUUUGUUUUAUUGCUUCCUAGUUCUCUGUGCAGAAAUGUGCUCCGGGAGGCCUGCCCUGCUCCGCCCAGCUGUCAAUCUGCUGCGCGUUUCCCUCACCAGCUACUGCUUCCUCCUGGGCCUCGCGGCAUUCACCAGCCAGGAGGCAGAACUUGGCCUCCCUUAAUCCUGAAUAGGCAUGCAGGGUUAUAUGCUAGACACAAAGGAAGCCACAGCCAGCAGAAGGCGAGCCGACAAGAACAAGGAAAUGGUUCUGCCGUCACAUCCCCUGGAAUCUCUGUGCCUUGGUGUCUCCGUUGGUAAAGACAGGAUGUCCUAGAUCUCCAAGGUUUCUUGAAAAACUAAAACCCAUUAUUGUUUAAUGCCUUCUAGAAGUUGCCUAGGAAACACUUCUUCUUAGAAAAGAUUCACAAACAGACCUGGAAUGAAUCCUUCUCGCUCUUCAUACACUGAGACAGGAUGAAAUCUAAGACCAUGGCAGGGAGAAGCCGCACGCGGAGUCGCACUGUCAGGAUCCAGGAUCGUCUUAAUCAGAUUGCAAGUUCUUCAGGCUUGGAACCAUAUCACCACAAUGAACAGCCAAGUGUAAAGGGUCCCCGGGGAAACUCCGACCGGCUUGCGCCCUGGGAGAAUGGGGUGGAGCCACGGAAGUUCACGCGCUUUGCAGAGGGGAGGAGCCUGGCCUCUCCUGAUCCUGGAUAGUACCUGAGAUUCAAUCGCUGAGGCGGGAAAACCGGCUAGCAGGACUGUUGCUUUGCUGAGAGUCCCUGUUUCCCUUUUUUUCCUCUUGGCCCAAUAAAUUCCAUUUUUCUCACCCUUCAAAAUCUCUGUGACCCUAAUC
rnacentral:lncRNA from 1 species